rnacentral:rRNA from 1 species
GAUGAACGCUAGCUACAGGCUUAACACAUGCAAGUCGAGGGGCAUCAUUAUCGAAGCUUGCUUUGAUAGAUGGCGACCGGCGCACGGGUGAGUAACGCGUAUCCAACCUUCCCCUUAGUAGGGCACAGCCCGGCGAAAGUCGGAUUAAUUCCCUAUGUUGUUUGAUGCUGACAUCAAGAUCAAACCAAAGAUUUAUCGCUAAGGGAUGGGGAUGCGUCUGAUUAGCCAGUUGGCGGGGUAACGGCCCACCAAAGCGACGAUCAGUAGCCGGUCUGAGAGGAUGAACGGCCACAUUGGGACUGAGACACGGCCCAGACUCC